UUUCACAUGACUGGGCAGUGGUGCAGCCAAACAUCCUGUAUACAGCUAGGUUGUUAACAGCUGUACAAUUAUAAAGACAUCAUGGUGUGUAACUUUAAUGACAGGUGUGGUGGUGUAACUAGAAUGAGAGGUGUGGUGGUGUAACUAGAAUGAGAGGUGUGGUGGUGUAACUAGAAUGAGAGGUGUGGUGGUGUAACUAGAAUGAGAGGUGUGGUGGUGUAACUAGAAUGAGAGGUGUGGUGUGAUGGUGUAACUAGAAUGAGAGGUGUGGUGUGAUGGUGUAACUAGAAUGAGAGGUGUGGUGGGGUGGUGUAACUAGAAUGAGAGGUGUGGUGGGGUGGUGUAACUAGAAUGAGAGGUGUGGUGGGGUGGUGUAACUAGAAUGAGGUGUGGUGGGGUGUUGUAACUAGAAUGAGGUGUGGUGGGGUGGUGUAACUAGAAUGAGGUGUGGUGGGGUGGUGUAACUAGAAUGAGGUGUGGUAGGGUGGUGUAACUAGAAUGAGGGGUGGUAGGGUGGUGUAACUAGAAUGAGGUGUGGUAGGGUGGUGUAACUGGAAUGAGGGGUGGUAGGGUGGUGUAACUGGAAUGAGGGGUGGUAGGGUGGUGUAACUGGAAUGAGGGGUGGUAGGGUGGUGUAACUGGAAUGAGGGGUGGUAGGGUGGUGUAACAAGAAUGAGGUGUGGUAGGGUGGUGUAACUAGAAUGAGGUGUGGUGGGUUGGGGUGGUC